GUGCUGGUGGACGACUUGACUGGAGGACAGAAGGCACAGCAGAGGGAACAGGGAGCUGGACCACAGCAGCAGCAGAUCUGAGGACGAGACGGGACACGUAACUGACGUCCAUCAGGACACGUAACUGGUAACUGACGUCCAUCAGGACACGUAACUGCAGGACACAUUAUGAGAUGUGACUGUAGAAGCUCCUGAAUCUUUAACAUCCUGAUGGACGAGGACUCACCUGCUGAGUUAUUCUGUCUGUGAUAAAACCAAGUGACAAAUGAACCUGUCAUGUAACUUUAGCACAAAUAAAGGUUUAAUUUUUACAACACCAA